AAUUGGGUGACGGAAAUUUGGACGCCGCCGGUAUUCUCGAUGGAUUUAGUGCCGGCGCAAGUUGAAUAUCCCAAUCUGGCGCUUGCGCCGCGAAAUCGGUACCAGCGAAGGGGCAGGGAUGCGAAAGAAUAGACACUAAGACUGUCUAUCUAUAGCCGGCGACGAUGAGUGUCGCCUCCAGCCAUUAUUUGAGAGAGAGAGAUAACACACCUGAAUCUUGAACUCUGUGAGCCGGACAACUGAG
rnacentral:misc_RNA from 1 species